rnacentral:rRNA from 1 species
AAUCUGCAAGUCGAACGAACUCUGGGUAUUGAUUGGGUGCUUGCAUCAUGAUUUACAUUUGAGUGAGUGGCGAACUGGUGAGUAACACGUGGGAAACCUGCCCAGAAGCGGGGGAUAACACCUGGAAACAGAUGCUAAUACCGCAUAACAACUUGGACCGCAUGGUCCGAGUUUGAAAGAUGGCUUCGGCUAUCACUUUUGGAUGGUCCCGCGGCGUAUUAGCUAGAUGGUGGGGUAACGGCUCACCAUGGCAAUGAUACGUAGCCGACCUGAGAGGGUAAUCGGCCACAUUGGGACUGAGACACGGCCCAAACUCCUACGGGAGGCAGCAGUAGGGAAUCUUCCACAAUGGACGAAAGUCUGAUGGAGCAACGCCGCGUGAGUGAAGAAGGGUUUCGGCUCGUAAAACUCUGUUGUUAAAGAAGAACAUAUCUGAGAGUAACUGUUCAGGUAUUGACGGUAUUUAACCAGAAAGCCACGGCUAACUACGUGCCAGCAGCCGCGGUAAUACGUAGGUGGCAAGCGUUGUCCGGAUUUAUUGGGCGUAAAGCGAGCGCAGGCGGUUUUUUAAGUCUGAUGUGAAAGCCUUCGGCUCAACCGAAGAAGUGCAUCGGAAACUGGGAAACUUGAGUGCAGAAGAGGACAGUGGAACUCCAUGUGUAGCGGUGAAAUGCGUAGAUAUAUGGAAGAACACCAGUGGCGAAGGCGGCUGUCUGGUCUGUAACUGACGCUGAGGCUCGAAAGUAUGGGUAGCAAACAGGAUUAGAUACCCUGGUAGUCCAUACCGUAAACGAUGAAUGCUAAGUGUUGGAGGGUUUCCGCCCUUCAGUGCUGCAGCUAACGCAUUAAGCAUUCCGCCUGGGGAGUACGGCCGCAAGGCUGAAACUCAAAGGAAUUGACGGGGGCCCGCACAAGCGGUGGAGCAUGUGGUUUAAUUCGAAGCUACGCGAAGAACCUUACCAGGUCUUGACAUACUAUGCAAAUCUAAGAGAUUAGACGUUCCCUUCGGGGACAUGGAUACAGGUGGUGCAUGGUUGUCGUCAGCUCGUGUCGUGAGAUGUUGGGUUAAGUCCCGCAACGAGCGCAACCCUUAUUAUCAGUUGCCAGCAUUAAGUUGGGCACUCUGGUGAGACUGCCGGUGACAAACCGGAGGAAGGUGGGGAUGACGUCAAAUCAUCAUGCCCCUUAUGACCUGGGCUACCACGUGCUACAUGGAUGGUACA